UACGGAGGGUGCGAGCGUUGUCCGGAAUCAUUGGGCGUAAAGGGCGCGUAGGUGGCCCGGUCAGUCUUUGGUGAAAGCGCGGGGCUCAACCCUGCGUCGGCCAGGGAUACUGCCGCGGCUCGAGCACUGUAAAGGCAGGCGGAAUUCCGGGUGUAGCGGUGGAAUGCGUAGAGAUCCGGAAGAACACCGGUGGCGAAGGCGGCCUGCUGGGCAGUAAGGGGAAACCCGGCUGACACUGAGGCGCGACAGCGUGGGGAGCAAACAGG
rnacentral:rRNA from 1 species